rnacentral:rRNA from 1 species
UACGUAGGGGGCGAGCGUUGUCCGGAUUUAUUGGGCGUAAAGAGCGUGUAGGCGGUUCGGUAAGUCUGUCGUGAAAUCCUGAGGCUCAACCUUGGACGUGCGAUGGAUACUGCCGGGCUAGAGGAUGGUAGAGGCGAGUGGAAUUCCCGGUGUAGCGGUGAAAUGCGCAGAUAUCGGGAGGAACACCAGUAGCGAAGGCGGCUCGCUGGGCCAUUCCUGACGCUGAGAAGCGAAAGCAUGGGGAGCGAACAGG